UCUCCUCGUUCCUGGAGGGUCUGGGUGGUGUCCCCUCCAUCCUCACCCGUGUCCCCGCGCUUGUCCCCAGCGCGCUGGCAGCGCUUGAGGCCGCCCUGGAGUUGGAGGAGGAGGAGGGUGAUGUCCCCACCCGGGUGCUGGUGGAACAUCAAAUGGACACCCGGAGGAAGCAGAAGCUGCUCCUGUCCCAGCUCCGGGUGCUGAAGAUGCUCCUGGGGGUCAUCGAGAACCCGGGGCAGCCCCUGGCGCCCACCAACUUACGCGAGGCGGUGGCACAGGCUCGGGGGCGCUGGCAGGAGCUGAAGGUGAAGUACGGGGAGGCCCUGGGGGCCCUGGAGGAGGCCGUGCCCGCUGCCCUGCAGCAGCUGGAGCGGGGCCAGCAGCUGCUGCAGCGAGGGAAGGCAGCCCUGGAAGCACAGCUGGAACAGCAAGAAGAGCUGAAGCAGAAGGUCCGUGAGGCCACAGAGAGACGGGACCAGCUGCUCCGGCGGGUUCAGGAGCGGCGCCUGCAGCGGCUCCGCCGGCGGGAGGACCUGCAGGGGCUGCAGGACAGAGUGGCCAGGGUGAAGGCCUCGUGUGAGCUGUACCAGACCCUGGCAGGGGCCCGGGUGCUGCCCCCCUCCCCAGGGACCCCCGAGCUGGAGCUGGAGCUGGGACCCCCUCCUGGCUCCUCCCAUUCCCUGCCCCCCCUUCGCCUGUCCCUCCCCCCAGCGGGGAGGUCCAGCUGCAGGUGA
rnacentral:lncRNA from 1 species